CCUCAGCCUCUCGAGUGGAUGGGGCUACAGGUGCACACCACCACGUCCUGAACAAUACUUUCGAAGUAAAAAAAAUCUGCUUGAAUGACUCCAGAAGUCCCACAGCCAGUGAGUAACACAGUGCAUCAUGGAGGUGGGUCAUCCUUGGAAGGCCUGGGGCAUGGAAUACAAGCUGGAGAAGGUGGAAGGAGGCUGGGAUGAGAUGGUGGCAGGUUGAGGUGCCAGGCAGAAGAGUAGGCCUGAGUGCAGGUGCUAGAAGUUCAGCGUUUCUGGGGCUGGGCACAGAAAAAUGAAGAUUUCUGAUUGCAGACAGCUCAGCAGAGUUCCCCAGCCAUUCCAAGACUUGGGGCUUAAAGGAGAUUUGCGGGGAGGAGCUCCACCACACCCAGAACCUCUGGAGAACAGAUUAAGGCUCUGAGCAUCGCUGUUGAUC
rnacentral:lncRNA from 1 species